UACGUAGGUGGCAAGCGUUAUCCGGAAUUAUUGGGCGUAAAGCGCGCGCAGGCGGUUUCUUAAGUCAGGGGUGAAAUCCUGGAGCUCAACUCCAGAACUGCCUUUGAUACUGAGGAGCUUGAGUCCGGGAGAGGUGAGUGGAACUGCGAGUGUAGAGGUGAAAUUCGUAGAUAUCGGGAGGAACACCAGUGGCGAAGGCGGCGAUCUGGGAAGAUACUGACGCUGAGGUGCGAAAGCGUGGGGAGCAAACAGG
rnacentral:rRNA from 1 species